GCCGGGCCUGUAGUCCCAGCUACUCGGGAGGCUGAGGCAGGACAAUCACUUGAGCCCAGGAGUUUUGGGCUGUAGUGCGCUAUGCCGAUCGGGUGUCCGCACUAAGUUCAGCACCAAUAUGGUGACCUCCUGGGAGUGGGGGACCACCAGGUUGCCUAAGGAGGGGUGAACUGGCCCAGGUCAGAAACGGAGCAGGUCAAAACUCCCAUGCUGAUCAAAAGCAGUUCUUCUCAAACUCGUAUAGGAACCCCCAGGUGAUCUUGUUAAAUGUGUUUUCUGACUGAAU
rnacentral:SRP_RNA from 1 species